rnacentral:lncRNA from 1 species
CUUUCCUGUGCUAUUCUGGAGACAGUGAAUAAAUCUCACAAGAUCUGAUGGUUUUACGAAGGGGGGUUUCCCUGCACAAGUUCUCUUCUCUUGUCUGCCUCCAUGUGAGACAUGCCUUUCACCUUCUGCCAUGAUUGUGAUGCCACCCCAGCCACGUGAACUGUCACCUGACCCAGCUCAGGAGCUUGAAGAAAGGGCCAAUGGACCAGGCCUGAGAAGUGACUACUUCCUAAGAAAUGGUACCAUAUUUUCAUUUCUUUCACUAGACACUAGUAUAAGAAUAGAGAGGCCAUGACUGGAAAAUGACAAGAUCUGCAUACUCCGAGAUCAACAACGAAAAGGAAAAGACGUGCCAGAAAACACAUAAUUGGAAGGAAUCUAAAUGAGCCUUGUUUUACUUUUUGGAUGGGUUUCUGUAUUAUUUCCUCAUGGCUGUGGUUCCCAAGCAGUGGGAACAGAGUACUCACUGGGACACUGAAGGGUAUCUUGAAUUUUAAAGAGGAGCGCAGUGACACUGGACAUCUGUUGGGCAUUUCAACAACUGCUAGCUUGAGAUAGUUCCCAGUUUCAACGUUAGGCUGUGUCACAC